rnacentral:tRNA from 1 species
GCCGACCUGGUGGAAUUGGUAGACACGCCAGAUUUAGGUUCUGGUGCCUUCGGGUGUGCGAGUUCGAGUCUCGCGGUCGGCA